UCUAGGUAUGGUGAUGCACACCUGUAAUCCCAGCUACUUGGGAGACUGAGGCAGGAUGAUCAUAAGUUCAAGGCCAGCCUGGGCAACUUCAUGAGAUCCUGUCUCAA
rnacentral:sRNA from 1 species